rnacentral:rRNA from 1 species
UACGUAGGGAGCAAGCGUUGUCCGGAAUCAUUGGGCGUAAAGCGCGCGUAGGUGGCCACAUAAGUCCGUUGUGAAAGUCAAAGGCUCAACCUUUGAAAGCCGAUGGAUACUGUGUGGCUAGAGUACGGAAGAGGCGAGUGGAAUUCCUGGUGUAGCGGUGGAAUGCGCAGAUAUCAGGAGGAACACCGGUGGCGAAGGCGGUUCUCUGGGCAUUACCUGACGCUGAGGGGCGAAAGUGUGGGGAGCGAACAGG